CCUUCUUCUAUUGCCCUCAAUCUUUCCCAGCAUUAGGCCUUUCUCCAGUGAGUCCUUCCUUCUCAUUACGUGGCCAAAGUAUUUGAUUUUCAACUUCAGGAAUUACAUACACUAGUGAUGCUCAAUAUAACAAAUGAUAUAAAAGCAUCAUACAACGUAUAAUCCUUUCAGUGCGGUACCAAAAUCUCCAGUAUAUAUUAUCUGUAAAUGGUAAAAAUCCACCCAGAUAGUAUAGAGAAGUGUUGAAUGUCUGCCUCUCUCGUGCUGAUGGCCGGCUGGUUGGGGCCUUCCAAGCGCCCUGCAGUCAGCAAUGCCCCUGUGGGGACCCAGCAGCCCUGCCCUCUGGAGCGAGGUUCCCUUCCCCCAAUUUUAACAGGUCACUCUCUCCUGGGAUUUUGAAGGGCCCUAAAGACUGGCUCUGCACCCAGACUCAAGGACCACUGAAGCCCUCCUUCCCUCCCUCUUCUCUUGGUUCAUCGUCUGGGCCAACAUCCUUCUCUUGUCUUGUGUUGUUUUUGUAGCUUUUGUACUGAGUCGCUGGGAGUGAAGCGGCAUAUAAAUUAUUAUUUUUUAACAUAAACUUUAGAAAGCACACUGUAUUUGCGUUGCCAUUCUUAAAUUCUGCUAAAUUUCUGUUGUAUAUAGAAAUGAGUUUCACCACUGCUAUACAUAUUCUCCAAUCAAGAUAUUGUGUCUUUUCUCCAAAGUUGUGCAAAAUUUGUGCUUUGCAGCUGUGAACACCAUAUGCUUGAUACUUUAUGGUACUUUUUAGUGAUGUCUUCCGUUAUCUAAAGGUAGCCCUCACUUAACAAAGGUAAUUGGGACCAGAAAAUAUAUCGCUAAGAGGCACAGUCAUUAAGAUGACACAUGACUUCAAUAUCACCCCAGCAGUUAAGGAUGCCACAUGGCUGCGACAUGCAACUUCUUGUCAGCUUUUCCCUUGACCUGGCUUGUGGGCAGCUGGCAGGGAAGGCCACGUUAUGCUCAGAACUGUGGGAUGUGCAGUGGUCAGAAAUGUGGAUCAGUUAACCGCAUUGUUUGUGAUCACGUGCUGUAACAGCCACAGCUACAAGGACUUUGGAUGUUUGUGUUAUUACUAGUCAGCUGAUAUGCACAAUUUUGUCUUUUUGGGCUUAUUUUUUCCAAAUCAAUGUAACUACCCUAACUGUGCUAACUAAACGGAUAUGUUGGACAAAGUAGGUGCCAUGAAUGUAGGUGCCAACAGUCACUGAAUGAGUGGCCAUUAAGGGAGGACUACCUGUACAAAAAAAAAAUUCAUUUUGAGGCUUUUUACUGAAUCUGGAUUAAGAGUGCUGUGUGAACCCAGCCUCCAGCAGGUGCUGAGAGACCUGUGCCCUCUUGCACCCAAAUAUUAUCCAGGGACACCUGUUGGGAAAGUUUGCUGGCACAAAUCUUUGGCUGGCCAUAGCACUGUGGGGGGAAAACCCUUUUGGGGACACUGGAUAUUGAUGCUUCAGUUCCCCUAAGGACACCGGCCCUCACUCGCUCUUCUGACCAGCUUCUGCUUUGAACUUCUGCAUUAGUACAGAAUGGCAGGUCAGCGUAGCCCAGAUCUGCCUAUGAAUUUGAACUCUGCUGCCAACUCUCGGGUGCCGUGCCCUUUUCCAACCCAUCAGUCCUUACAGAGCUUCCUGCGGCUCCCCAGAACCUCGUGAUCAAGGACAGACAACCAGCAACCCUUUUUGGGAGGAAGAGCCUCAAGGACACCUGCUGAGCUCCCGUGGGGAUUUUUUGUAGGCAUCUGGCAGAGGAAGCGGCUUGGAUCCAGCUGGACUAAGCUGGCCCAGUUGCUGGGUCUGGGUCUGCCGAUCUUGCCGGCUGAUCUGGGAAGCCCUUGAGCAGAAGACCCAGGACUCGUGAACUUCCGAUUCCUGUCCCUCCUGGCUGGCUCAGGUUACCUGGAAGGCCAGGUGGAUCCA